rnacentral:rRNA from 13 species
GCCAUGCCGCGUGUGUGAAGAAGGUCUUCGGAUUGUAAAGCACUUUAAGUUGGGAGGAAGGGUUGUACGCUAAUACCGUGCAAUUUUGACGUUACCGACAGAAUAAGCACCGGCUAACUCUGUGCCAGCAGCCGCGGUAAUACAGAGGGUGCAAGCGUUAAUCGGAAUUACUGGGCGUAAAGCGCACGCAGGCGGUUUGUUAAGCUAGAUGUGAAAGCCCCGGGCUCAACCUGGGAUGGUCAUUUAGAACUGGCAGACUAGAGUCUUGGAGAGGGGAGUGGAAUUCCAGGUGUAGCGGUGAAAUGCGUAGAUAUCUGGAGGAACAUCAGUGGCGAAGGCGACUCCCUGGCCAAAGACUGACGCUCAUGUGCGAAAGUGUGGGUAGCGAACAGGAUUAGAUACCCUGGUAGUCCACACCGUAAACGCUGUCUACUAGCUGUGUGUGUCUUUAAGACGUGCGUAGCGAAGCUAACGCGCUAAGUAGACCGCCUGGGGAGUACGGCCGCAAGGUUAAAACUCAAAUGAAUUGACGGGGGCCCGCACAAGCGGUGGAGCAUGUGGUUUAAUUCGAUGCAACGCGAAG